UUAUAGGGUGCAGUUUUUAAUGUAAGACGGCACGGAAAGGGACAUCCCCCUCCGGCUCAGCAGGAGAACCAGCGCUGAUGCCCAGUUUGAGUUCGGGAAGAAGUGCGUUUGAGAAGGCGCGUUUGCUGGUCUUUCUCAAGAUAAUGUUUGCACGGCCCUUUCAAGCACCACCUGUCCCCCGUUGGGUCCCGACCCGAGGAGAGCUCGCUUGAGCUGCCACGCAGUGCCCGGUGCCGACGGAGAGCAGUCGCAAGGUGUUGGAAAGAAUAAGAUGAAACUUUGAAAAUCGCAUCCAGAACCGUAACGGAGGACUCUGUACCCUCAGCUGGAAGGUCCAAAGGCCAGAGAGCAGGAAAGCAGGGUGAAAUGAAAGCACAGGAUGUGACACAGGAAGUCAGAAAAGGAAACAAGAAAACGUUCAAAACUGAACCAAACAAAAAUAAAAACGGAAUAUCGUUUAGUAAAACACUGACUACUUUGGUUCAACACUUUUCCCCACACAACAGUUAUUUUUAAUUAUGUCUCACUCAGUGUCUGCGAUUAAAGAGUGAGAAUAAGAUAAGUGCUGAUUUGUGAAGACGUGCAGAUCAAUCACUUUACAAUCAACGCAACUAUGGCAUUAACACAUGUUGAUUGUUUUAAGAAUGUUGCAUGUUUGUGUGGUUUUUCCAUGUUGUUUUGGAGAGGACAUUAACCCAACAAGAAGGAAGAAACUAAACAAAAACAAAAAUGCUUACAGCCAAGAAUGUUGCAUGUGUUUAAUUUCAAAAUAAUUGAUGGCAAAAUAAAAUAUUUACAGCACAUAGUGUAAACAUGUAUGGUUCCUGUACAAAGUAAUAUACAUGCAAAAAGUAAAAAUAAUAAAAAAUCUUAAAAAUGAUCAAACAAAUACACUAAAGUAUAUAUGUAAAAUACGAUGAGGCUGAAACAAGAGCAUCCAGUCCAAAUUCCCGUAUUUAAUCGGUUUCUGUACAGCUUUACAAUAAUGAAUAAAUAAGAAUACAUGAUAUGGAACUGUACAGAUGAAUCCACUGUAUUCUAUCACUAGAGGAAAAAAAAAUAAAUCUAGGUUACGUACUUUGCAGAUCUUGGAGAAAAAAAACUACUUUUCAGAUCUUGACUUGUCCAAACUGGCACUUAUUAAAUUCUUGAAACACAAUGCAAAGGGUUUCAGAUACAUUUAUGUUGUUCACUUUUACCAUAGCAGCUAAAAUCUACGAUGCACAUUAAAAUUUCUAAUGGUGCAUGUAGUUCUUUUCCAACCAGAUGAAACAUUUCUGAAGAAUUUAAAUACCAAGGUCUUUAUAUGAGAAACAUCUAUGAAAAGACUGACCUCUCCAAAUCAAAUAAAAUUUUAAUUAUAGAUGUUUUUGUAUAAAUAAUGCAACUUCAACUAAAAGGGUUCCUUUCCCCUUUAACACGACUACUUCAAAAGCAUAUUAUUCUUUCACUCCUGACCACCCUAAGAGAACCUAAAUGGAGUAGAUUACACUUGCCAAGAAUUAAAUCAGGAUACUCAGUUACAUACAGCGGAUGAAAUGAAAGGUGACCAAAAUUAAACCAGGUGUAAUACUCACCUAAUUUACAUAAGAAUAAAUAAACAAUCUGUAAACACCCUCUUUUAACGCUCAUAAUGGUAUCCAUAACUUAAAUUAGUAAAAUGUCACAAAUAAAGCAAUACUUACUGUAAAGCAAGGAGACCUUUGGUUUAACUAUAACAAAAAUGUUUUUUUUU